UUAACUGAAGCCAAAAAGAGGCAUAUUAUUGUUAAUAAUAUCACUGAAAAUAAUUCCAGUUAAA
rnacentral:tRNA from 4 species